rnacentral:rRNA from 1 species
UACGUAGGUGGCAAGCGUUGUCCGGAUUUACUGGGCGUAAAGAGCUUGUAGGCGGUUUGUCGCGUCUGCUGUGAAAUUUCGGGGCUCAACCCCGAACUUGCAGUGGGUACGGGCAGACUAGAGUGUGGUAGGGGAGACUGGAAUUCCUGGUGUAGCGGUGAAAUGCGCAGAUAUCAGGAGGAACACCGAUGGCGAAGGCAGGUCUCUGGGCCACUACUGACGCUGAGAAGCGAAAGCAUGGGGAGCGAACAGG